GCUGGAGGUAACUGCCUCUGGGACAGAGGUUGUUAGGGCUGGAGAUGACUCAAUGGGACAGAGGUUGUUGGGGCUGGAGGUGACUGUCUCUGGGACAGAGGUUGUUGGGGCUCGAGGUGAUUGUCUCUAGGAUGGAGAUGGUUGUUGGGGCUGGAGGUAAGGGUCUCUGGGACAGAGGUUGUUGGGGCUGGAGGUGACUCAAUGGGACAGAUGUUGUUGGGGCUGGAGGUAACAGUCUCUGGGACAGAGGUUGUUGGGGCUGGAGGUGACUCAAUGGGACAGAUGUUGUUGGAGCUGGAGGUAACGGUCUCUGGGACAGAGGUUGUUGGGGCUGGAG
ensembl:lncRNA